rnacentral:rRNA from 1 species
GGAGUUAGCCGGUGCUUCUUCUGCGAGUAACGUCACAGAUGUAAGGUAUUAACUUACACCCUUUCCUCCUCGCUGAAAGUGCUUUACAACCCGAAGGCCUUCUUCACACACGCGGCAUGGCUGCAUCAGGGUUUCCCCCAUUGUGCAAUAUUCCCCACUGCUGCCUCCCGUAGGAGUCUGGGCCGUGUCUCAGUCCCAGUGUGGCUGAUCAUCCUCUCAGACCAGCUAGGGAUCGUCGCCUAGGUGAGCCUUUACCUCACCUACUAGCUAAUCCCACCUGGGCUUAAUCCAUCAGCGCAAGGCCCGAAGGUCCCCUGCUUUCCCCCGUAGGGCGUAUGCGGUAUUAGCAGUCGUUUCCAACUGUUAUCCCCCACAAAUGGGCAAAUUCCCAGGCAUUACUCACCCGUCCGCCGCUCGUCAUCUUCAAAAGCAAGCUUUUGAAAUGUUACCGCUCGACUUGCAUGUGUUAGGCCUGCCGCCAGCGUUCAAUCUGAGCCAUAAUCAAACUCUGA